rnacentral:rRNA from 1 species
GACGAACGCUGGCGGCGUGCUUAACACAUGCAAGUCGAACGGAAAGGCCCCUUUGGGGGUCCUCGAGUGGCGAACGGGUGAGUAACACGUGAGUAACCUGCCCUUGCCUUCGGGAUAACUUCAGGAAACUGGGGCUAAUACCGGAUAGGAAUCAUUGCUGCAUGGUGGGGGUUGGAAAGCUUCGGCGGUUUUGGAUGGACUCGCGGCUUAUCAGCUUGUUGGUGGGGUAGUGGCUUACCAAGGCUUUGACGGGUAGCCGGCCUGAGAGGGCGACCGGCCACAUUGGGACUGAGGUACGGCCCAGACUCCUACGGGUGGCAGCAGUGGGGAAUAUUGCACGAUGGGCGGAAGCCUGAUGCAGCAACGCCGCGUGCGGGAUGACGGCCUUCGGGUUGUAAACCGCUUUCAGCAGGGGCGAAGCUUGUGGUGACGGUACCUGCAGAAGAAGCACCGGCUAACUACGUG